CAUUUAAAACUUACAAUUAAUUGGAACACUACGCUGUCAACUGAAGUGAAGGAACUGAAGGGCCUUGUAAAGAAAGUAGACGAAAUGAAUAAUUCCGUCACAGAGAUCAAGAGCAGCAUUAAAAAACUAAAUAAUGUUGCUCUUGAUCUAGAUAGUUCAAGCAUCAAGAAGCCUUACCUUGCAUAUCUGAAGGGUACGUUUUACACUUACCCUUGGAUAGUGGAAGAGGAUGAAGAUCUCAAGAUAUAAUUAUUGCGUUCUGUUAAAACCACUAAAUUUUAAUUAUUAUUUACUUAUAAAUAUAGGUGAAAUUACAUGCAUUGGACAAUAAUAGUGUAUUGACCUGACAUAAAACAAUAUAAGGAACUGGCAUGAAACAUGUCAGUGUUCUUCCCAGGAAUUUUGGAUAGCACCAGGGUAACGUGUGUGGACAUCUUGGUGAAAUAAUUCAUACAAUCAGUUGUGUCGCGUCACGUCACUUAGCUAUAUUUCUAGUUACUGUAGAUUUUAUGUCUCUUGUUUUGUUUUAAUACUGUGGUACUGUGAAAUGUAGACAUUAAGUCACAAACGUGUGGGAAAAAAGAAGUAAAUCAAUAAACAGUUUGUAUACUUUAAUAUUUUUUAAAAAUAAAUAAAACAUGGUUCA